AAAUUUUCACAAAGUACAAAUCGAUUUUAUGAAAUGGGUACUUCAAGCUUUAACAAAAAAAGAAAAAGAAAUGGUUACCUGAUUUGAAUGCUCACUUGAUUUGGAGGAUAAAGGUUAAUUACUCUAAUUUUUUUCUCAAUUCAUGAAAUGGGUACACCAAUUUUGAUAUCAUAUAUGUGAGGCAAAGGUCAAAUUUUUACACCAAAUAUGGGAGGCAAAGAUCAGAUUUUUACACCAAAUACUAUACCAAUUCAUGAAAUCGGUACUUGGUGAGCAUAAAGGUCUAUUUUUAAAAACCAAUUUUGAUUCCAAUUUGAUUCUAAUACACCAAUUAAUGAAAUGGGUACUUAAAAUGUGAAGCAAAGAUCAAAUAAAUUGAAGUGGGUACUUGAUCGUGAACAUAAAAGGUCAUUUUUUUCAGAUCCUAAUUUUUGUUCUUUCUCAAUUAUUCUAUCAUCAUAAUCUGUUUUUUUUUUUUUUAACUUACUUGGUCUGGAGUUUUCGGUGCUGCUGCUGCACAAGGUUCUGAAGAAACCUCGAGUGUAAGAGGUGGUGGAUCUUCUUGAUCGUGCUAAGAAAUCUGGACCGUUAGAUGGGA
rnacentral:lncRNA from 1 species